rnacentral:lncRNA from 1 species
AAAAAUAAUUAUAACAGGUUAUAAAGUAUAAUAUACCUAACCUGUUCCGUAUUUUGAUAUUUAGAGCUGACGGAGCUAACUUCUCGACAGUGUCGAUAAUUCGAGACAGACGAUACAUACUUCGAUAUAACUGCAGCUCGCCGGUCGUGGCGUCGCGGCGAUCGUACUGGUCGCGUUCAAAAUGCUCCGCGGCUUUCGCGAUUGUUGUUACCAAAAAGAACCUCGCGCGCGGAGAUUUAUCGUAAGCGUCUCUUUCGCUACCGGCAGUUCGCUUUUACGUAAACGGUGUUCGUUAACGAUCGAAAUUGUCGUCGUAUGCCUCAGGACCUGACGCUCAGGUAAUUCUGUCAUCGAACCUCAUCGGAAAUGCAAUGAGUGCAUUAUUGUUAUUGCCAGCACAAGCAUCAAUUGGAUUCCCCUCUCUGACGCUUGCCUGGUGUUCUUAAUUACGGGGAUACACAGCAGCAGGAGGAGAUUUUCGAGGUGCCUGUUAUUGCCUCGUUGGAGGAUUGGAAUUGGACGGAAUGCAAACUCCUGCGUCCUUCUCUCGGAUUUGGAAGUGACGGAGUCGCGCCAGGUCUCGGUGCUUGAUGGCCGUUGUGGUGCAAUCAGCCCAAAUAAGGUAGGUGCGCGCGGAAGGGAGAAAGAGAGAAAGCGGGGGAGUGAGAAAGAGAGUCAAGGAACCGGGGGAGAACGAGAAGUGAACGAGGAGGGAUGAGGGUCAUAGAAUGGGCACUUAAUACGGAAUAACUCGUGAUUCCGUGGUGUGAUGCGACGAUGACUGUCGAAAAUCGGCGUGUCGGAGAUCUCUCGGUGGUGUAAUUGCCACAGAAAUCGAUGUGCGCGCGCGGAUCCCGAGCUCGUUUAUAUUUUUUAAUCAAUGCGGGGCGCAUUCGGUGCGUGCAUUCACGAUGACAUUAUUAUUUAUUUUUUGCCCGCUAUCAUCGAUCGAUGUUAUUUAGCGUUGCGUGUACCUUUAACGAGCGAUGACUUUCUUUCUCUCUCUCUCUCUCGACGGAUCUCCGCAGCGCGUCCGUGUCGUAACGCGUUAUAAAUCAUCGAACAUUAUCUAUGCGAACGGAGGAUUGGGAGGAGGCCGGGGUGGCGCCGCCAAAAAGUAUCGCAAGAGCGUAAUAGACUUUCGGAACAAGAAAUCGAUUUGCCGGCGAUUGUCGCGUUGCCGGCGAUGCGCGCGUAAUUAAUCUUGAAACGACGAGCACACUCCGCAAGACGGGUUUGUUAUUAUUUCUGACGGCCGGUUGAUUGAUUUACAUGAGAAAAUGCAUUCCGCGCGCGCUGGCGUAUUUGUAUCACAUAAUUGUACGAUAUAAUCGCACGUAAGCAAGAAAGAUCCAGAUAAUCUUCGAGGCGAGGAAAAGUGAUUCGCUUUAAGCGAGACUGGCGUUUGCGAGAUUGCCGCUUCAGCGUCUUCUUCAUCGCGUCAAUCUCUUCGUGCUUCGACAGCAGCUGCUGCGAGUAUCGUUGUUACAGUAUUGGAUUUCCCGAUUCGCGAUCGCGAGCCAAGGAGCACUCCGUUUCGCGAUCGAGGAGCAGCUCGCGCGCUUACACGGCUUUGCUAUCGGGGAAAUUAGUUAUCGCUCUGAGUCCGGCAAAUGCAUUUUGGAAUCACACUUCUUAACUGUCAGGAAAGUCGUUCCAAGCGAUAGGCUCGCGCGCGCGGCCGGCGGGGCAAUUUGCUCGUUUUAUCUCGGCCGGCAUUUCUUCGUUUUUGAUCCCGGAGCGAAGGGAAACUACUCACUUAAGAUAGGGUAUCUACCUCGUACAACGAAUCGACGACUUCUAUCGCGCCCGGGCGCUACAUUGGCUCGCCGUGAGCGCGCGCGCGCGCGCGAGCACGUCAUCGUUCUAAUUAAUUCCAGCGCCCCACGUUCGAUUGAUCAAGAUACAGCGGAUGGUGCAAUUAGCGGCUCUUCCUCCGAGAGCUGAUUGAUGCACCGGCGCCUCCGCUUGUACCGUCUCUCGUGGGCAGACGCAAAAAGAUGAGGCCGUAUGGUAAGGUGCGUACUUGGGCGUUUUUGCAACAUCCGAAACUGCUGUGCGCAAUCAACAUGUGGCAGAAAUAACUAGUAUCACUGGAAAUAAAUGAGCGGUUUGGUUGAGGUAAUCAGGUUGAAAUAACAGAGAGAGGAGAAAGUUUACGAAACUCCUUCCGAAAAUUGGAGCAUUCCGAGAGAACUGUUCCUUGUUGCGAUCGAUAUUCCCCAGGGAGAAUAAAUUAUGCACUCGAAUUUUAACGAUGCGGACAAAGAAAGAAGAAACCAAUUUCGUUAUGAGUUGAAAUAUUCUGAUACACCGUAAUGGACAACCGGUAUGUCGAGUUAUUGUUGUGGCAUCGAACGAAGUCGACUAGCUUAAGGCGUGGCCCUAGCUGCAUUCGUAAUGUGAUAAAGCUCUCGAAGCCGCACUUCCGGUCCUAAUGAAUCUCUUAUAUGUUAAUAAGCGACUGUAAAGUUUUAAAUGGAAAAUAAAAAAAGUGAAAGAUACAAGUGAUUAAAA